ACAAGGUUUCCGUAGGUGAACCUGCGGAAGGAUCAUUAUCGAAUAAACUUGUGUAGGUUGUUGCUGACCCCCUCGGGGGUAUGUGCACAUCUGCCAUUGUUUCAUUCAUCCCUUCCACCUGUGCACUUUCUGUAGACCCAUACUGUUGCCUUUCAGGUGCUCUUGUGGCCCUGGUAUGAGGACCUGCUCUUGCUGUCCUUGGAUGGUAUGCGGUCUAUGUCUUUAUCAACCCCAAUUGUAUGACAUUGAAUGUUUGUCUGGGUUCUCUUGUAGACCCAUAAAAUCUAUACAACUUUCAACAACGGAUCUCUUGGCUCUCGCAUCGAUGAAGAACGCAGCGAAAUGCGAUAAGUAAUGUGAAUUGCAGAAUUCAGUGAAUCAUCGAAUCUUUGAACGCACCUUGCGCUCCUUGGCAUUCCGAGGAGCAUGCCUGUUUGAGUGUCAUUAAAUUCUCAAUUCCAUCCUCCUUGCAGAGGUUUGGAGUUGGAAAUGGAAGCUUGCUGGCUUCACAGUCAGCUCUUCUGAAACAUAUUAGCGGGGCCUGUGUACGCACGGCUGAAGCUCUGGUAUUGAUGAGUGUCAUAUCAAGCUGCAGACGAGCAAUGUGCCCAGCUUACAGCUGUCUCUGUUGGGACAAUUGACUUGACAAUUUGACCUCAAAUCAGGUAGGACUACCCGCUGAACUUAAGCAUAUCAAUAAGCGGAGGAAAAGAAACUAACAAGGAUUCCCCUAGUAACUGCGAGUGAAGCGGGAAAAGCUCAAAUUUAAAAUCUGGCAGUCUCCGGCUGUCCGAGUUGUAAACUAGAGAAGUGCUAUCC
rnacentral:rRNA from 1 species